AUUUGACAACGCUGAACAAGUUGACCACAAGACACAGACGGAAGGCAUGGAAACCAACAUCAGAGGUGGGAUAUUUGAGUAUUUUUGGAGGCAUCUGAGGAGAGCCUGGAGACUCCUGUGCUGCCGAGGCCCUGAUGACUCUGAAAUAAAAUUGUCAGUGGAAGAAACAUCACCAUUCAAUGCGCAAAUCUCUGUCCGUCCAUGGUGAAGAUGCUCAAGC